UACGGAGGGUGCAAGCGUUAUCCGGAUUUACUGGGUUUAAAGGGUGCGUAGGUGGGUUGGUAAGUCAGUGGUGAAAUCUUCGAGCUUAACUCGGAAACUGCCAUUGAUACUAUCAAUCUUGAAUUAUCUGGAGGUAAGCGGAAUAUGUCAUGUAGCGGUGAAAUGCUUAGAUAUGACAUAGAACACCCAUUGCGAAGGCAGCUUACUACGGAUAUAUUGACACUGAGGCACGAAAAGCGUGGGGAUCAAACAGG
rnacentral:rRNA from 1 species